GAUGAACGCUGGCGGCGCGCCUAACACAUGCAAGUCGAACGGUUAAAGCACCUCCGGGUGUGUAUAAAGUGGCGAACGGCUGAGUAACACGUGGGCAACCUGCCCCUCGCUCCGGGACAGCCUCGGGAAACUGGGAGUAAUACCGGAUACUCCGCCACCCCCGCAUGGGGGGAGGCGGGAAAGCCCUUACGGCGAGGGAUGGGCCCGCGGCCUGUUAGCUUGUUGGUGGGUAACGGCCUACCAAGGCGAUUAUGGGUAGCUGGGUUGAGAGACCGACCAGCCAGAUUGGGACUGAGACACGGCCCAA
rnacentral:rRNA from 1 species